rnacentral:tRNA from 1 species
GGGUUCAUGGUGUAAUGGUCGACACUCUGGACUCUGAAUCCAGUACUCCGAGUUCCAUGUCUCGGUGGAACCU